rnacentral:tRNA from 1 species
UCUAAUGUGACAGAAUAGUGUGGUGGAUUUAAACCCCAUAUAUAAAUUUAAAAAUUUCUUUAGAA